rnacentral:lncRNA from 1 species
UUUUUUUUAAUUCGAGAUAAGGUCUCACUAAGUUGCUGAGACUGGCCUCAGACUUUUCAAUGGACUCUCCUGCUUCAGCCUCCAUAGUCCCUAGGGAUUACAGGCAUGGGUCACCCUACCCAGCUAGACUGAAAGGUUUUGAAUCCCAAUGUCAUCAUCUGCUACGUACUGACCUUGAGUAAGACCCUGUCUCUGGGUUUGGGUUUCUAAAUGGGGAUAACCAUGACAUCAUCCUCUUAGAUCUCACAGAAUGUUGUGGGGCUUGAAGAAGAUAAUUCAUGUAAAAGUACACUUAGUGCUCAAUAAAUGUAACCAUUUUUAUUGCUGGAGCAGCAUGGGGUAUGAGAAGUGAGGGACAAGGUGAGUGGGCAGGGCCUCCUUAAGGAGGGAGAGGGAAAGGAGACAUUUACUGAGCACUUCCGCACUGGCCUCUUGGGAUGUAUGCACCAGGAGAUUACUCAGGGCAUUCAGAUGCGACAACCAUCAGAUCAGGCUUAAACCACCAGAGAUUGACAGCCCUGAGGGUGGGUUCUCUCACUUCAGACUCUUCUAUCCUCAGCUGUGUCAGAUGAAGGGCGAAGGGAUCUUAAAGCCAGGGCAGCCUCUCUGGCCUGCUCCCUGCAAUGGGGAGUCUAUAGUCUUCUGGGGCAUCUGGUUCAGAACCCGGUAACUGCCUCUGUGUCCUCGCCCUUCCCCCUCACCUCUUGCAUCCCCUGCCCUCUUACCCCCAGGUUCUAGCACCAUCUUCUAGGGCUCUUCAUGACCCCCUGGGCUCCCCCAGCCCUUGGACAGCCCUGCAGUGGUGUGCAGGCACUUAUAUGACCUGCAGGACCUUCUCAAUUGUGUCUAAAAGCCACCUGUUCCAAAAAUAAAUAAAUAAAAUAGUCAGGAGGAGGGUGACACAUUUCUCAGUGUGUCGGGAAUUCCAGUAAUCCAGUGGCUCAGGAGGCUGAAGCAGGAGGAUCACAAGUUCAAGGCCAGCCUCAGCAGUUUUGCAAGGAUCUAAGCAACUUAGCAAGAUCCUGUAUCUAAAUAAAAUCUAAAAAAGGGUUGGGGAUGUGGCUCCGUGGUUAAGCAACCCUGGGUUCAAUCCCUGGUACCGAAAUGUACAUAAAUAAGUCAAAUAGUUUCUGAAGUUCUUUGUGCAAAAAAAAUGACAGUGUCUUGGAUUAUGAAGAGGACCUACAAGUAAAUAAUAAAUACCCACAGCCCAGUAGAGAACUAGAUAGAUUAUUUGUACAGUUUGCAGAAAAGAAAAUAUAAGUGACUCUAAAACAUGACAAGGUAGUCAACCUCACUUGAAAAAAAAAAGUACAAAUAAACACUACACCAGGAAACCACUAUUCAUCUUUCAAUCUAGCAAAAGUUCAUAAAGUUUGAUGACUUGUUUUCUGGGUACUGGUGUGAGGACACAGGCAUCCACUCACAGUUUUUCUUUUUGUUGUUGUUGUUGUUUGGGGGGAGGGAGUAUACCAGGGAUUGAGCUCAGGGACACUCAACCAUUGAGACACAUCCCCAGCCCUAUUUUGUAUUUUAUUUAGAGACAGGGUCUCAUUGAGUUGUUAGCACCUUGCAGUUGCUGAGGCUGGUUUUGAACUCGUGAUCCUCCUGCCUCAGCCUCCCCAGAGGCUGGAAUUAUAGGUGUGCAUCACUGUGCCCCGCCCCAUUCACAUUUUAAGUGAGAGGAUAAGUUGGUAUAAACCCCAUUAAGCAAUAUCUACCAGUAUUUCAUUUUAUUAUUUUAUUUUAUUUUUGAUACUGAGAAUUGAACUUAGGAGUGCUUCGUCACUGAACUAGGUACCCUAACCCUUUUUUGUUUUUAUAUAGAGACAGGGUCUUUCGAAGUUUCCCAGGCAGGACUUGAACUCAAGAUCCUCUUGCCUCAGCCUCCUCAGUUACUGUCUACUGGUACUUUAAAUGCAUGAGCCCUUUGCUACAACUCCACUGCCAGGAAUUUCUCCUACAUUUAUACCCUCGUGCUUGGAAAAGGAUACACAAACCAGCAGCUCCAUCUCUAAUAACAAAGAGAUUAGAAAUAAAGCAAAUGCUCAGUGUUAGGGGACUUGUUAGAUAAAUCAGGGCUUCUGCAGACAGUAGAAUACCAGGCAGUCAUAAGAAUGAGGCAGCUCUCUCUAUACUGAUAUGGAAUUAUUUCCAAGACAGAAUAAGGCAAGGUAUAGAACAAUACAUUCGGAUAGUGUGUCUUGCUUAAAUAGACAACAAAUGUCUUUGCCUGACAAGAACUAGAUCUGGAAGGAUACACAAAGCGUGCUGCGGUUGUUGUCUCUGAGCUGGGAAGUGUAGAGGGAAAGAGGCUUUCUUUUCAUGAUGUGUCUUAAACAUUGUGCAUGAAUAUGCAUGACAGCAAAGCAGAUUUUAAGAAUCAACUUGGAAUAGAUUGUCUAGGCCCAGUUGAGCCUUCAGGUGACAGCACACCAGGCUGACAUCUUGAAUGAAGCCUCUCAAGAGACCCUGAGCUAGAACCACGAAGCUAGGCUGCUUCCAGAUUUCUAACCCACAGAAACUGGGUGAAAAUCAACAGGUAUAUUGUUUUCAGUGCUAGAUUUGGGGCAGUUUGUUACACAACAACAUGACUAAUACACCAAACAAGUCUUUAUUAUGCACUGACUGUGUACCAAUUCUGUGGGAAUGCCAGAGAAAAGGAUAUGAUCCUGUCUUCAGGAGAGCAAGACACAUGCUGGUUCAUUCCUAGAUCCACUUUUUCCUUCAACAUUUGCUGAGCAGUUACUAUAUACCUGGCCCGGUGCUGUGUGCUGACUCAUAGGAUGCUGGCAGUUUAAAUACACUGUAGGACAAGAGAGAACUUUCUGGAAUGAUGGAAAUGCAUAUCCUAACGGGAUUUAAAUUAUACAGAUGCAUAUGCAUUUGUAAGAACUCAGCAAAUGAGCACUUAAUCUUGUGCACUUUGUUGCAAGUAAUAUGUGUUGAAAUAAUUUGCUUGGAAAUGCAUUAAAAAAAAAAAAGGAUGAACUGGUUUGGGUAGCCCAGUAAUACAGCACUUGCAUAACAUGCAUAAGGCCCCAGGUUCCAUCCCCAGCAUUACAAAAAAAAAAAAAAGACAGAAAAUGAAUUGAUGGACAGACAUGGGAUAAAGCAAGUGAAACUCUAAUGGUAGAAUGUAGGUGGUGAGUUUUGUUGCCAAACUCUUUCAGUUUUCCUGUAUGUUUAGAAAUUUUUUAUAAUAAAAUGUUUGG